rnacentral:rRNA from 1 species
UACGGGGGGGGCAAGCGUUGUUCGGAAUUACUGGGCGUAAAGGGCCAGUAGGCGGCCGACUAAGUCCGACGUGAAAUCCCCAGGCUUAACCGGGGAACUGCGUCUGAUACUGGAUGGCUUGAGAUUGGGAGAGGGAUGCGGAAUUCCAGGUGUAGCGGUGAAAUGCGUAGAUAUCUGGAGGAACACCGGUGGCGAAGGCGGCAUCCUGGACCAACACUGACACUGAGGAGCGAAAGCCAGGGGAGCAAACGGG